GCAGCCGCAGCCCCUGGCGCUAACGGUCGGUAACGGCCCGCGCGCGCCGCCCGCCGGGGGCUCGCGCCAGCCACGAGGGAGCGUCCGCGGCCCGCGCGCCCGCGCGGCGGAGGAGAGGUGUUAAGUGUGAUGCUUCCAUAAUACAUUUGGAUGUUGUCAGCUAAGUUCACUUCUGAACUAAGGGGUUCCUCCAAAUGUUGGCUGAAAUUCAUCCCAAGGCUGGUCUGCAAAGUUUACAAUUCAUAAUGGAGCUACUGUACUGGCUAUUGGAAGGAGGAGAUUCUGAAGAUAAGGAGGUAAUAUUAUCUCUUUUAAAAGAAUACUUUCCUCUGUAAUCCUGAAUCUUUAUUACAUGUAAGAACUUUGUGCAGUAGACAGCAAUUUCUUUGAAUUUGGUAUAUGGAAACAAUUUUAUUUUCCUCUGCUAAGUUUUUGAGCCUGCCUCUUCUAGUGCCAUGGACUGCAUUGGUAGAGCUGAGAAAUAUCAUUUAGCCAUACUCAGCACCCUUAAAAUAGCUUCUUUCUGAGAAUUAGAUCUGUGAAGGUGUCCUGCACAGUUCUUGUAGAUGUCAUUUUAGUUUGUGGUUGACGUGCAUGCAU
rnacentral:lncRNA from 1 species